rnacentral:rRNA from 1 species
CCAGCGAACUUGGCAGAGAUGCCUUGGUGCCUUCGGGAACGCUGAGACAGGUGCUGCAUGGCUGUCGUCAGCUCGUGUUGUGAAAUGUUGGGUUAAGUCCCGCAACGAGCGCAACCCUUAUCCUUUGUUGCCAGCGAUUCGGUCGGGAACUCAAAGGAGACUGCCGGUGAUGAACCGGAGGAAGGUGGGGAUGACGUCAAGUCAUCAUGGCCCUUACGAGUAGGGCUACACACGUGCUACAAUGGCGCAUACAAAGAGAAGCGACCUCGCGAGAGCAAGCGGACCUCAUAAAGUGCGUCGUAGUCCGGAUCGGAGUCUGCAACUCGACUCCGUGAAGUCGGAAUCGCUAGUAAUCGUGGAUCAGAAUGCCACGGUGAAUACGUUCCCGGGCCUUGUACACACCGCCCGUCACACCAUGGGAGUGGGUUGCAAAAGAAGUAGGUAGCUUAACCUUCGGGAGGGCGCUUACCACUUUGUGAUUCAUGACUGGGGUGAAGUCGUAACAAGGUAGGCGUAGCGAG